GACGAACGCUGGCGGCGUGCCUAAUACAUGCAAGUAGAACGCACAGUUUAUACCGUAGCUUGCUACACCAUAGACUGUGAGUUGCGAACGGGUGAGUAACGCGUAGGUAACCUGCCUGGUAGCGGGGGAUAACUAUUGGAAACGAUAGCUAAUACCGCAUAAUAUUGAUUAUUGCAUGAUGAUUGAUUUAAAGAUGCUAUUGCAUCACUACCAGAUGGACCUGCGUUGUAUUAGCUAGUAGGUGAGGUAACGGCUCACCUAGGCGACGAUACAUAGCCGACCUGAGAGGGUGAUCGGCCACACUGGGACUGAGACACGGCCCAGACUCCUACGGGAGGCAGCAGUAGGGAAUCUUCGGCAAUGGACGAAAGUCUGACCGAGCAACGCCGCGUGAGUGAAGAAGGUUUUCGGAUCGUAAAGCUCUGUUGUAAGAGAAGAACGGGUGUGAGAGUGGAAAGUUCACACUGUGACGGUAUCUUACCAGAAAGAGACGGCUAACUACGUG
rnacentral:rRNA from 1 species